GUGUGAUCUUGGCUCACUGCAACCUCUGCCUCCCUGGUUCAAGAGAUUCCCCUGCCUCAGCCUCCUGAGUAACUGGGACCACAGGCACACACCACCACGCCCAGCUAAUUUUUGUAUUUUUUGUAGAGACGCGGUUUCAUCAUGUUGGUCAGGAGGGUCUCAAUCUCUUGACCUUGUGAUCCGCCCGUGUCAGCCUCCCAAAGUGCUGGGAUUACAGACGUGAGCCACCGCCUGGCUCAGCCAAUUUCUGUCUUCUUAUAAGCUCAUUUUGGGGGUGAAAGCCUCUUUCAUUUCUCCUCUGGCUUCUGGGCGCUCUCAUCUUCCUCCCUGACGACCAGGCAUGCAUGAGAAGCAGAGACUGCCCAGCGUGAACCUGAUCUGUGUCUGCUGCUGGAUUCUGACCCAACUGGGGAUGCCUGUGCACUGGAGGGCAAGGAUACCUGAAGGUGUUUUCACAGGGGAUUUGGGGACUGCUUAGAAAGAGCUAAGCUGGAGCAGGGCCUAACAUAAAGAGCACAAACUAGAGAUUCUCUCUGGUUGUUUAGGAGGAAAAGUGACGGAAGUAGAUGUUGCUUAACUCGCUCCAGACCUCACCUCCACUGUGCAAUGACACAGUGCUCACAAAUGGCUGGUGGAGACCCGAACUGGAGCCAGAGGCCAGGCAGGAUACUGCUUCGUGGGAGGAUGAAGAAGGGCUUUGUACUACCUGCCCCAACUUCGACACCAUUUGCAGAUGAAGCUCCAAGAAACAUGAAAACCAGACAGCUAUAGCGCUUUGGGUGGAGUGUGCUGCUGGGCACAGCAAAUAUAAAUGGCCUUAAAGAAAAAGCAGAAUGGACAAUGAAUGCCAUCCCUUAAAGCGACGUCUUUGCUGCAGCCUCUUCAUUUGCCCUCGGAUUAAUGCGUGAUAGUUUCCUGUCCCUGGUACUUGGGGCUGUGCAGUGAGGAAAUAUGAAGAAAGAAAAGAACUGAAGUGAGCUACCUUGGGGCCUUAGAGGGAAGGCCAGCAGUAUUGUCAACCCAUUUGGUUCUGCCAAAUCAUGAUGAAAGUAAUGGCCCAACCCGGCUGAGAGUAAGCCCCUGUGUUUCUCUGCAGCAGAUGACUGAGAAGCAGCCAGGCUGGUCCCCAUUCUGAGCUGCAGCCCAGCCUGCUCCUGUUCACUUCCUCUGUCGUUCUGGGAGGUUUGUCAGCUUGCACCUCUUCAGCUCCUUCAUGCUGACAUCAUGUUGGAAAAGCCACUUUACUUCUUAGAGAUUCAAAUAACCCAAGCCUUGCUUGACUUGCUUCUCAGGACAACAGAAUAGACACCAAUCAGAAACUCCAUGGCAGUGUGAACUGUUUUUACCUUCCAGGCCCUGCCUUUCUCUGCUGGCUGUCUUCAUCGGGAUCACACCAGAACUUCUAGCUUAUCACAUCUUUGCUUGACUAACUUCAAUUCAUCCUCUAAGACUUAGCUCAGGUAUGACCUGCCCUGGGAAGCUCCUUUGAGACCCUCACUGCCCUCCCAGGGCCAUAUGCUGAUUUUCUCUAUGACAAUUUUACAUUAAAGCCGUGUGCCCAUUUUGCCUACUAAACUUGGAGCUUGUUUUGCAGAGGGAAAUUCCCUAAUGAUCUUAAUGGUACUCUCUGUUAGCCUGAAGCCUGGUAUCCUGUAGACAUUGAUUCUUAUAAUAAUAUUGAUGAAUGAAUAAACAAAUGAGAAAUUGUGAAGAUGGGGCAUUAUCUUUCUAAUGAUCAUCACUGUAUUUGGUGUAACCAUUCAUAUUCAUUUAAUGCCAAGAUAUAGUAGCAAGUGCAAAGGUAUACUGCCAACUGUGUGAAAUGCUAUUGAUAGAUACUUCUGCUGAAACCAUGUACAUUAUAUGCUAAUAAAAUAAACUAAAAUAUGUCUUGUGUUCCUCUAAGUGCUUUGCAAAUAUCAACUCAUGUAACCUUCAUACAACCCUAUGUG
rnacentral:lncRNA from 1 species